CCUCCUUCUGUAAUGUUCACACCUGUUGGGAUCGAUCAGUAAAAAAUACUUAAAGCAAUUCAAGAUCGCAAAUGUUUGACAUUUCCUUUUUAAAAUGACGGAAGCACCAGUGCAGUGUGUAACUACUGACCAGAGCAGCAGCUGUAUGGACAGAUGUGGCUUUAGAGUACUGUUGAACUUACAAGGUGCUUUCUAGAACUUUCCUGGUCCUUACAGAGGAAUAAUAUGAACCAACUUGAUCAGUACUUGAUCAGGCUAAAUUAACGUCUGUCUUAUGACUUCAGCUUUUUUAAAAGUAUUGCUGGCAAUUUUCAGAGGUUUAUAAAGAAUGUGGAACUGACACAAUUGGUUUAA